UUUUAAAAUAAGGUUGUCUAAUCAUGACUCUGCAUUACGUUUACAGCACUGCAACAGCAAGCUUACACACAUCAGAACCAUGGCUAAUGCAGUCACCAUUGAAUACUGUAAAGGAUGAAGUUAUGCGUUCCGCUACCAGGAGCUGGCCGGUGAGCUCCGGCAGGUUCCCGGUGUGCAGGUGACGGGAGUCAAAGGGAGGCCAAACAGCUUUGAGGUGUCAGUAAAUGAUCAGCUGAUCUUCUCCAAGCUUGAGACAGGAACGUUUCCUGUUCCUGAAGAGGUGGUGAAGAUGGUGAAGCAGAUAGUUAAUGGAGGAAAAGUGGAGAAACCUUCAAAGCUGAAGCACUGGAAGAACAAAUGCUCUCACCAUUAGAAGAUAACAGCUGUAUUCACACUGCAAGAACUAUGGUUUGUUUUCUGUGGCUUAAACUGCAUUCUGUCACACCUGCUUAUCUGAAAACAAAAUUGAAUUCAAACAUUGAAAUAUGACAUCCAAAAUCAAAAUAUAAAAUAAUAAAAUGUCAGUCAGCCACGAGAAGAUGAAAACAUAUCUCGUCUUCACUGUGAAUACAGUCAAAGACAAGAAUAUGAUGAGAGCAACUCUGAGGAGCCAGGCACUGAUCUGCUCUUCUGUUUAUGAAUGUACACACUGAAACUCAUGUAGUGUGUGCACGAAGUCUAGAAGCUUUUCAGCCGACUGGGGUCUGGGGUACUGCUCCCAUCAUGUCUGUCUACCAUACUCCAUAAUAAAUAAAACAUUUCUACAGGUGCAUUUAUUCAGGAAUGGAAAACCAAAAGUUUCAGGUCUGUGACGUGAUUGUGCACAAAUUAAAAUUUUGGGAAAAUCCUGGAAUUUGCACUACCACUACCACAAGAAACAGUCCAGCCCAUAACCCCAUUUUACUUUUUGUACGGACCAAAGAAACAAGAUAAAACACAUUAAGCUGGUACGUGAGUUCUGUAACCUUCAGAAAGGGCCGGGCUCGCUGUUUCCAGUCUUUGCGCUAAGCUGAGCUAACCAGCCGGCUGUAGCUUCAUAUUUACGGUACGAAUAUAGAAAGGUAUCAUUCUUCUCGUUUAACUCUGGCAAGAAAGCGAGGUAGCAUAUUUCCAAAAAUAUCAAACUAUUAUUUUAAUCCUAUUGUGGUCAGAGAUAAUGUGUGGUUUGGCUAUUUUUGGUCAGAUACGUAGAGUGUUUCUUUUUAAAUGUUGGACGUUUUAAACUGGCACCAGCAUUGAUAUUGAGUAUGAGAUAUUUACUUGUAACAUAUAUUUAAAAAAAAACUCACUGUAUUGUUAUAGGCCUUCUGUCAACUAAUUUGUUUCAACAAAAAAACAUUUUCCUGAAAUGCAAUAAAAUAUCCCUGAAAAACCAA